rnacentral:tRNA from 1 species
GGUGCUGUGGUCUAUUAGAGAAGUCUAUGGACUGUAAACCACAAGGCACAGGGUUCAAAUCCCUGCAGCAGCA